rnacentral:rRNA from 1 species
CCUACGGGAGGCAGCAGUGAGGAAUAUUGGUCAAUGGACGAGAGUCUGAACCAGCCAAGUAGCGUGAAGGAUGACUGCCCUAUGGGUUGUAAACCUCUUUUAUAUGGGAACAAAAUAGGGUAUGCAUACCCUCUUGUAUGUACCAUAUGAACAAGGAUCGGCUAACUCCGUGCCAGCAGCCGCGGUAAUACGGAAGAUGCGAGCGUUAUCCGGAUUUAUUGGGUUUAAAGGGAGCGUAGGUGGAUUGUUAAGUCAGUUGUGAAAGUUUGCGGCUCAACCGUAAGAUGGCAGUUGAAACUGGCAGUCUUGAGUACAGGAGAGGUGGGCGGAAUUCGUGGUGUAGCGGUGAAAUGCUUAGAUAUCGCGAAGAACUCCGAUUGCGAAGGCAGCUCACUGGACUGCAACUGACGCUGAUGCACGAAAGUGUGGGUAUCGAACAGGAUUAGAUACCCCAGUAGUC